GACGAACGCUGGCGGCGUGCUUAACACAUGCAAGUCGAACGGAAAGGCCUGCUUUCCCUUGUGGAUUGCGGGUACUCGAGUGGCGAACUGGUGAGUAACACGUGAGUGAUCUUCCCCCAACUUGGUUAUAAGCCUGGGAGACUGGGUCUAAUUCCCGAUAGGACUGCAGGGUGGUGCCUGUGGUGGCAAACGUUUUUCUAGUGGUUGGGGAUGAGCUCGCGGCCUAUCAGCUUGUUGGUGGGGUAAUGGCCUACCAAGGCGGCGACGGGUAGCCGGCCGGGGAGCGUGCACGGCCACAUUGGGACUGGGACCAGGCCCAGACGGCUACGGGAGGCAGGAGUGGGGACGAGUGGACCGAGGGCGGGACGCUGAGGCAGCGAGGGCGUGUGGGGGAUCACGGGCUUCGGGUUGUAAACUACUAGCGAACGAGAGGAAGCCACGUGGUUGGAAGGGUGGUGACGGUAGUGGUAGAAGAAGCACCGGCUAACUACGUG
rnacentral:rRNA from 1 species